rnacentral:rRNA from 1 species
UACGGGGGGGGCAAGCGUUGUUCGGAAUUACUGGGCGUAAAGGGCUUGUAGGUGGCCAACUAAGUCAGACGUGAAAUCCCUCGGCUUAACCGGGGAACUGCGUCUGAUACUGGAUGGCUUGAGUUUGGGAGAGGGACGCGGAAUUCCAGGUGUAGCGGUGAAAUGCGUAGAUAUCUGGAGGAACACCGGUGGCGAAGGCGGCGUCCUGGACCAACACUGAGAAACGAAAGCCAGGGUAGCAAACGGG